GUGCGGAGCCACGUGACGGUUGUGUUGCUAACCGAGCUUGGAGGCCUGGGUGCGCGCGUGCGCAGUGAACGCAAGCCCCACCCACCCAUCCUAGGCGCCCGCGGGCCCAUUGUGGUACCCUCUCUGACUCGCCUUGCUGGCGUUGUCCCGGUCGUCUGGCCGAAACCAUUUGGUUAGCCACGGUCUCAGGACGGCCGCUCCGGACCUACAGACCGCCCCGGCGCCGGGCUGCUGCGAGCAAGGACACCCGCUGACCAUGCCCUGCCCUGAGAGACUCCGUUUUGAGGAUGGAGACUAAGAAUGUACUUGAGCACACAGGGCUUUCACCUGGGCAAUGUGCAGAACGUGUAACCAGCAAUUUAAUCUCGGGUCAGAGGGGAGAUCUCUGUCCCCUCCACGCACGCUCCAUAUAAGGAAGGCAGCUGCCCUGGGAUUAGGAGAGUGGCAUUUUUAUUAUGUUCUGGGACUGGAGGACCAAAGACGUUCCUGGAGUAAAAUUAGCACAUCUGUGCUCUGUGGUGGAGGAGCCCAACAGGAAUCUGUUGUCAGAGGUGCCCGAGGUCUGAGAUGUCUCCAGGCAGAAAAGAUCUCAAUGCUGAAGGACAAACACAUACAUUACUAAAAUUAGCACUUUACACAGUGAGUCAGCCGCCAGCGUGGUAGCCAGGGGUUGCCAGCUUCACAAUAAUCGACUGUUGUGAUCACUGGAGAGAGAGCUCUCCUCAAGCAGAACUCACCUAAAUGCACAAAACAUCAGGAGAGGUCCAGGCCGUCAGAGAACAGGAGCCACCUCUUCUGGCAGACAAGCAUUACAGCAACACGUGAGAGUCGGGAAGAAACCCACCCGCUAAUCCUCCCUUCUGAGAUACGCUUUCUGAUCCUUUGUCUGAGAGCGUGUUCCCCUACUGUUGAAAUGUUUAUUGGUUGAUUAAUUGUCCCACUAUGGAAGAACAAAGCAUGGUGGUCUUUUGACAUAAAUGGUCAGACAGCUAGAAUAGGGAGUGUCAGGGGGAAAUGUCUGCAAGAAAUGAAAUAAAAUGGUUCAUUUCUAAGUCAAAAUACUCAGUUAGUUUAGGAAGAGCCACCAAAGAACAGGAAAUGCUGGCCACCUACUGGCAGCUUGCCAAACUUGCUAUCCCAGCUCAAACUCCACUAAUACCCUCUUCACCAUCAAAACUAAAAAUUAAACCAGGCAAUGGUAGAGCAUGCCUUUGACCCCAGCACUCGGGAGGCAGUGGUAGGCAGAUCUCUGAGUUCGAGGCCAGCCUGGUCUACAAAGUGAAUUCCAGGACAGCCAAGGUUACAUAGAGAAACCCUGUCCAAGAAACAAAAAACAAACAACAAACAAAAAAACCCAAAAAUUUAGAGUAAAAGAUUAUUAACGGCAAAGCUUGCCCUGCAGAUGGACAAUGUCAUAUGGCUAUCAGCUUUAACAUAAGCGGCAUAUAAAACACAGAGAUGAAUCCAUGCAUAGUGGUCGUCAAGAAAGAAACGAGUGGCAGAGGGAACGGUAAGACCUGGAUGGCACGUAAGAUUGUACCUGCCUUGUUACUCAGUCAGCGAGGAAAAAGAAGGGACCUGUGUUAGCGUUGUAAAUACGGAUCUCUGUGCUCAAUUGGUGCGCCCACCAUUGUGGUCUGAUGCCCAGUUUACGAAGUUGGAAAAUCAGCUACUGAGUCUCCAGGGGUCUUUUUAUGGAGUGUGAGGAGGGUCCUGGUUCCCAGUGAUGCUUUGGGGAAUCUCAAUUCAGUGGGCCUUUGAUCCCAAGCUCCUGUACUCCAGAGAAAGGGACUGCAUCAGAGACACGUGCUUAGACUAGAAAUAAAGACACUGACUAAGAAAGGAAAAGCACUCCCAGGAGUGGAAGUUGGCCAGUGUGCUGAGGAAGAGCUGGAGCACAGACCCAUGUGGUGUGGAUCCUCUCAAACACACUUCAUAGCCCCCUCUCCUGUCCCGUUCAUGGGCUCCCAUGCCAUCCCCUACCCACUAGCUGACGGAGAGACAAAGGCAGGUAAAACAAAGGGUGUGCAGUCUUGCUCUAAAAACUGGGUUAUUUGGGGUUGGAGAGAUGGCUCAGCAGUUGAGAGCACUGGCUGCUCUUAGAGGACCCAGGUUCAAUUCCCAGCACCCACAUGGCAGCUCACAACUGUCUGUAACUCCAGUUCCAGG